rnacentral:rRNA from 1 species
GACGAACGCUGGCGGCGUGCUUAACACAUGCAAGUCGAACGGAAAGGCCCUGCUUUUGUGGGGUGCUCGAGUGGCGAACGGGUGAGUAACACGUGAGUAACCUGCCCUUGACUUUGGGAUAACUUCAGGAAACUGGGGCUAAUACCGGAUAGGAGCUCCUGCUGCAUGGUGGGGGUUGGAAAGUUUCGGCGGUUGGGGAUGGACUCGCGGCUUAUCAGCUUGUUGGUGGGGUAGUGGCUUACCAAGGCUUUGACGGGUAGCCGGCCUGAGAGGGUGACCGGCCACAAUGGGACUGCGGUACGGCCCAGACUCCUACGGGGGGCAGCGGUGGGGAAUAUUGCACAAUGGGCGGAAGCCUGAUGCAGCAACGCCGCGUUCGGGAUGACGGCCUUCGGGUUGUAAACCGCUUUCGCCUGUGACGAAGCGUGAGUGACGGUAAUGGGUAAAGAAGCACCGGCUAACUACGUG